AUGAUCUGGGUUCUUCUAGUUCUGUUCUCCUCCGUGUCCUACGUGCAUGGUGACAUCAGCCUGACCUCCUCUCCUGCUCAGGCUAAACCUCCUGGAGAUUCAGUGAAGCUGUCCUGCCAGGUUUCUGGCUAUAAGCUCACCGACUACGGUACAGGCUGGAUCAGACAGCGUCCAGGGAAAGCCCUGGAGUGGAUCGGGAUCAUAUGGGGUGGUGGAGGCAUAGCCGCUGGAGAUUCCUUCAAGUCUCGCUUCAGCAUCUCCAGAGACACGAACAACAACGUUCUGUUCUUAGAUAUCAGCAACCUGGUGCUUGAAGACGCGGCUGUUUAUUACUGUGCAAAGACUCACAGCUGUAGAACAGUGAGGAGUGAUGAGAUGAACCAGCCUCCUACAGAGGUCAAGAAACCUGGAGAACGUCUGAAGAUCUCCUGUAAAAUUACUGGUUUUGAUAUGACAAGCUACUACAUGCACUGGAUCCUGCAGAAACCAGGAAAAGCUCUGGAAUGGAUUGGCAGGAUGAAUACUGGCAGCAAUGCUGCAGAAUAUGCAGAAUCAAUGGAAGCCCGGUUCAAGCUGAGUGAAGAUGUUCAAGCAAGUACUCAGUACCUAGAGAUCCAGAGUCUGAGAGCAGAAGAUACUGCAGUUUAUUACUGCGCCCGACAAUCACAGUGA